GGGAUCGGACCGCGUACUAUUAGCUUGUUGGUAAGGUAACGGCUUACCAAGGCGACGAUGACUAUGGGGUCUGAGAGGAUGGUCCCCCACACUGGUACUGAGACACGGACCAGACUCCUACGGGAGUGCAGCAGUGAGGAAUAUUGGGCAAUGGGCGCAAGCCUGACCCAGCCAUGCCGCGUGCAAGAUGACUGCCCUAUGGGUUGUAAACUGCUUUUAUACGGGAAGAAUGGUUCCUACGUGUAGGGAUUUGACGGUACCGUAAGAAUAAGCAUCGGCUAACUCCGUGCCAGCAGCCGCGGUAAUACGGAGGAUGCAAGCGUUAUCCGGAUUCAUUGGGUUUAAAGGGUGCGCAGGCGGAAUAUUAAGUCAGUGGUGAAAUCCUGCAGCUUAACUGUAGAACUGCCAUUGAUACUGAUGUCCUUGAAUAUAGUUGAGGUGGGCGGAAUGUGUAAUGUAGCGGUGAAAUGCUUAGAUAUUACACAGAAGACCGAUUGCGAAGGCAGCUCACUAAACUAAUAUUGACGCUGAGGCACGAAAGCGUGGGGAGCGAACAGGAUUAGAUACCCUGGUAGUCCACGCUGUAAACGAUGAUCACUCGCUGUUGGCAAUACAUCGUCAGCGGCUGAGCGAAAGCAUUAAGUGAUCCACCUGGGGAAUACGAUCGCAAGAUUGAAACUCAAAGGAAUUGACGGGGGCCCGCACAAGCGGAGGAACAUGUGGUUUAAUUCGCUGAUACCGCGAGGAACCUUACCUGGGCUUAAAUGCAGAACGACGUUUCGGGAAACCGGAAUUUCUUCGGACGGACUGCAAGGUGCUGCAUGGCUGUCGUCAGCUCGUGCCGUGAGGUGUCGGGUUAAGUCCCAUAACGAGCGCAACCCUUAUCGUUAGUUGCCAGCGGGUAAUGCCGGGGACUCUAACGAAACUGCCGGUGUAAACCGUGAGGAAGGUGGGGAUGACGUCAAGUCAGCACGGCCCUUAUGUCCAGGGCUACACACGUGUUACAAUGGUCGGUACAAAGGGCAGCUACCU
rnacentral:rRNA from 1 species